ensembl:misc_RNA Metazoa_SRP Metazoan signal recognition particle RNA
GCCAGGAGGGGCGGUGCGUGCCUGUAGUCCCAGCUACUCUAGAGGCUGAGGCUGGAGAUUCUCUUGAGUCCAGGAGUUCUGGGCUGUAGUGCGCUAUGCCAAUCGGGUGUCCAAGCACUGAGUUAGGGAUCAAUAUGGUGACCUCCCGGAAGUGGGGCACCACCAGGUUGCCUAAGGAGGGGUGAACCAGCCCAGGUCGAGAACAGAGCAGGUCAAAACUCCUGUGCUGUUCAGUAGUGGGAUCGCACCUGUCAAUAGCCACUAGGCUCCAGCAGAGGAUAAGAUGGACCAUAGUU